CCUACGGGAGGCAGCAGUGAGGAAUAUUAGGUCAAUGUGACGAGAGUCUGAACCAGCCAAGUAGCGUGCAGGAUGACUGCCCUAUGGGUUGUAGAACUGCUUUUAUCAGGGAAUAAAGUGAGGCACGUGUGCCUUUUUGUAUGUACCUAGAUGGACUAAUCACCGGGUAAUUCGCGUGCCAGCAGCCGCGGUAAU
rnacentral:rRNA from 1 species